rnacentral:ncRNA from 1 species
AGGAACCGUAUGCGGGAAAUCUGCACGUACGGAUCUGCGGGGGAGGCGUUGAGUAAUCAGUGCCUCUACCCGGAC